GAGCUCGCUUUAGCAGCACAUAUACUAAAAUUGGAAUGAUACAGAGAAGAUUAACAUCGCCCAUGAGCAAAGAUGACACAAAUUCAUGAAGCAUUCCAUAUUUUU
rnacentral:snRNA from 1 species